GAUGAACGCUGGCGGCGUGCCUAAUACAUGCCAGUCGAGCGAACGGACGAGAAGCUUGCUUCUCUGAUGUUAGCGGCGGACGGGUGAGUAACACGUGGAUAACCUACCUAUAAGACUGGGAUAACUUCGGGAAACCGUAGCUAAUACCGGAUAAUAUUUUGAACCGCAUGGUUCAAAAGUGAAAGACGGUCUUGCUGUCACUUAUAGAUGGAUCCGCGCUGCAUUAGCUAGUUGGUAAGGUAACGGCUUACCAAGGCAACGAUGCAUAGCCGACCCGAGAGGGUGAUCGGCCACACUGGAACUGAGACACGGUCCAGACUCCUACGGGAGGCAGCAGUAGGGAAUCUUCCGCAAUGGGCGAAAGCCUGACGGAGCAACGCCGCGUGAGUGAUGAAGGUCUUCGGAUCGUAAAACUCUGUUAUUAGGGAAGAACAUAUGUGUAAGUAACUGUGCACAUCUUGACGGUACCUAAUCAGAAAGCCACGGCUAACUACGUG
rnacentral:rRNA from 1 species